AUGAAGAAAAUCCUGGAGUUUGUGUAAGGAUCCCCCAAAACAGCAACCAAAGACGAAUAUCCAUGCCAAAAAAGCUAUGCUUUGUGUUUGAUAGAAUCAUAAAGGCAUUAUUUAUUAUGAGCUUUUCCCACAGAACCAGUCCAUUAAUUCU